UUGGCCUCAAAUCAGGUAGGACUACCCGCUGAACU
rnacentral:rRNA from 1 species